UUGAAACCCUAGUUCCUAUACCAUCACUGAAGUUAAACAAUGUCAAGCCUGAUUUGUACCUAGAUGGGUGACCAUGCGGGAAUACCAGGUGCUGUAAU